CGCACGCUUGACUGCAAGUCACUUUGGAUAAAAGUGCCUGCUAAAUGGCAUAAA
rfam:Salmo salar isolate Sally breed double haploid chromosome ssa25, whole genome shotgun sequence.